rnacentral:rRNA from 1 species
UACAGAGGGUGCGAGCGUUAAUCGGAAUUACUGGGCGUAAAGCGCACGUAGGUGGCGACGUAAGUCGGGUGUGAAAGCCCCCGGGCUCAACCUGGGAAUUGCAUUCGAGACUGCAUUGCUGGAGUACGGAAGAGGAAGGCGGAAUUCCCGGUGUAGCGGUGAAAUGCGUAGAUAUCGGGAGGAACAUCAGUGGCGAAGGCGGAUCUCUGGGCCUUACCUGACGCUGAGGCGCGAAAGCUAGGGGAGCGAACAGG